rnacentral:tRNA from 1 species
GAAGGGAUAGCUCAGCGGUAGAGCACAUGCUUAGCAUGCACAAGGUCCUGGGUUCAAUUCCUAGUACCUCCA